CGCCGGCGAUAGUAAUAGAGCGUGGGCUUACGAGAGCAGAGGGGCCGAGAAGUGAAGUGGAAGUGAGAAGAAUCAACAAUGAAAGGCAGGACCAUUCAGGCUGCACUAAGCAGUACUGGCAGGUCGCUUUCCUCUUCUUCUUCCUCUUCCUCCCCAUCUUUGUCGUAUGUGGAGAAAAGGCUUUCUUUCUUAGCAUCCUUCUCUACCCAGAGACAGCCCCUCCAAAACCCUUUUCUUUCUCGUUUGCUUGGCUUCCCUCGUAAACCCAACUCCUCCGUAGUUUCUUCUUCUUCUUCUUCUUCUUCUUCUUCUUCUUCUUCUUCUGCUGUUACUCUUCGGUUUGUGAGUACUAGCAGCUUCUCCUCCUCCGAAGAACAAAAAGAUAUUGAUGUCGAGGCUAACGAACAAGAAGACCCAUUUCAAUGUGAAACAAUUGGAGAAGGAGAAUCCACAGAUGGAUGGGAAGAAGAGGAUGAGGCCGAGCCUGAGAUUGGAGAUGGAGGUGAUGGUGGUGGAGUUGUUUUGCAAGGUGUCCUGUGGGGUGAAUCGGUUCUCUCUAUUGCUCGCAAUGUCUUGUUGCAAUUUGGUGAUGACAUGAAGCUCUAUGCUUUCAAGACGACUCCUCGUGGAUAUGUUUAUGUGAGACUGGAUAAACUGUCAAAUGAAUAUGGUUGUCCCAACAUGGAGGAGCUUGAGAGCUACAGUCAAGAAUUCAAGAAAAGAUUGGAUGAAGUUGGAGAACUUGGAAAAAUACCUAAUAAUUUGGCUCUUGAGGUAUCAUCUCCAGGGGCAGAGAGGAUACUAAAAGUACCAGAUGAUUUGGAUCGCUUUAAAGACAAGCCUAUGAGAGUAUGCUAUGUAGAUGUGGAGUCUAAAUGUCAAGAAAAGGAUGGUGUCUUUAUGCUGGAUUCCAUGGAAACAGAAUCGGAGAGUUGUGUGUGGAAGUUGGCAAAUGUGAAGGCAAACAGGGACCCCGAAAGCAAAGGUAGACCUUUAAGCCGUAAACAGAAGGACUGGAGAUUAAAAGUGCCAUUUGGGAUGCAUAGCAGGGUGUUCCUAUACCUUGAAUACUGAAAUUUUACUAAUUGAGUUGUUUUGAAGAACUCUUAGAUGAGCUGAUAAAGUUGUCUUUGGUGUUAGUUGAUGAAAUGAUCCAGUACAAAAUGCAGAUUUUGUGCGGCGUUUGCACUCACUCCAGUUUAUAGUGGGCCGAAACUUUGGUUUGGGCUCCAUGGUGGAUGGCCCAGCCUAAUCCGCAAACGCCAUACAAAGGAAUUGUGGAGUCAUGCAAAAACCCAUUUUAAUCCAAAUACAUUCCUCAAGGCUCAAGGUAAUGGAGUUCAUCUCACACCUUAGAUUCCUUCGCUGACCAUAAGGACAAAAUAGUAAGAGAUGAGCAGCAGGUGGAUUCAUUUUCUUAGAAUCUAAAGGGAGUUUCGUAAAAAGUGUCACUGUUUCAUAAUUGACAAGGAAAGAAUACACUGUUCUUGACAGCGUGAUAUUAAUAAAGGCCCUUUUGAGGGAUGGAGACGGUUUGUCCUUUGAGGAAGGCAGUUGUUUGUUGGCUUAUUUGCCAAAGUUUUUCUCUCUUUCUUCUCCAAUAAUUUGUGGUUCACAGUAUGAGUAGAUAGCUUCUUCUUUUCUUCUUUUCUUUUUGUUUUAGGUAGAACACAAGUUGUGGAGUUUAAGCUAUGAAUGAGUCUCUACAACCUAAUAAUACUUUUUAUUUAGGAUGGAGGUUUGGGAUUCGAUGCU